UCGAGGAUCAUUCGCAAUGGGCGCAAGCCUGACGAUGCGACGCUGCGUGGAGGAUGACGGCCUUCGGGUUGUAAACUCCUGUCAUGAGGGAAGAGGAAAGCGUCACUAACAUUGACGCGAUUUGACGGUACCUCAAGAGGAAGCCACGGCUAACUCUGUGCCAGCAGCCGCGGUAAUACAGAGGUGGCGAGCGUUGUUCGGAUUUACUGGGCGUAAAGGGCGCGUAGGCCGCGCGGCGUGUCGGGUGUGAAAGCCCAGGGCCCAACCCUGGAAGUGCGCCCGAAACUGCAGCGCUCGAGUGCGGGAGGGGAGAUCGGAAUGCAGGGUGUAGCGGUGAAAUGCGUUGAUAUCCUGCAGAACACCGGUGGCGAAGGCGGAUCUCUGGAACGCAACUGACGCUGAGGCGCGAAAGUCGGGGGAGCAAACA
rnacentral:rRNA from 1 species